rnacentral:rRNA from 1 species
UUCCUACGGGCGGCAGCAGUGGGGAAUAUUGGACAAUGGGGGAAACCCUGAUCCAGCAAUGCCGCGUGAAUGAAGAAGGCCUUAGGGUUGUAAAGUUCUUUUGUCCGUGACGAUAAUGACGGUAGCGGACGAAUAAGCCCUGGCUAACUCUGUGCCAGCAGCCGCGGUAAUACAGAGAGGGCAAGCGUUGUCCGGAAUGACUGGGCGUAAAGCGCGCGCAGGCGGUCUUUUAAGUUGGGUGUGAAAUCCCCGGGCUUAACCUGGGAACUGCAUUCGAUACUGGAAGACUAGAGGCCGAGAGAGGAAAGCGGAAUGACGAGUGUAGAGGUGAAAUUCGUAGAUAUUCGUCGGAACACCAGAGGCGAAGGCGGCUUUCUGGCUCGGACCUGACGCUCAGGCGCGAAAGCGUGGGGAGCAAACAGGAUUAGAUACCCGGGUAGUCCUA